AGAGUUUGAUCCUGGCUCAGGACGAACGCUGGCGGCGCGCCUAACACAUGCAAGUCGAACGAGCGAGAGAGAGCUUGCUUUCUCGAGCGAGUGGCGAACGGGUGAGUAACGCGUGAGGAACCUGCCUCAAAGAGGGGGACAACAGUUGGAAACGACUGCUAAUACCGCAUAAGCCCACGGGUCGGCAUCGACCAGAGGGAAAAGGAGCAAUCCGCUUUGAGAUGGCCUCGCGUCCGAUUAGCUAGUUGGUGAGGUAACGGCCCACCAAGGCGACGAUCGGUAGCCGGACUGAGAGGUUGAACGGCCACAUUGGGACUGAGACACGGCCCAGACUCCUACGGGAGGCAGCAGUGGGGAAUAUUGCACAAUGGGGGAAACCCUGAUGCAGCGACGCCGCGUGGAGGAAGAAGGUCUUCGGAUUGUAAACUCCUGUUGUUGAGGAAGAUAAUGACGGUACUCAACAAGGAAGUGACGGCUAACUACGUGCCAGCAGCCGCGGUAAAACGUAGGUCACAAGCGUUGUCCGGAAUUACUGGGUGUAAAGGGAGCGCAGGCGGGAAGACAAGUUGGAAGUGAAAUCUAUGGGCUCAACCCAUAAACUGCUUUCAAAACUGUUUUUCUUGAGUAGUGCAGAGGUAGGCGGAAUUCCCGGUGUAGCGGUGGAAUGCGUAGAUAUCGGGAGGAACACCAGUGGCGAAGGCGGCCUACUGGGCACCAACUGACGCUGAGGCUCGAAAGUGUGGGUAGCAAACAGGAUUAGAUACCCUGGUAGUCCACACCGUAAACGAUGAUUACUAGGU
rnacentral:rRNA from 1 species